CUUUUCCAGACUGGAUACUUGAAUCUCACUUCCCCAAAGAUCUUUAUAUUUGCGAGUGCCUUGAAUCACCGUACUUGCAAGAAAGGAUGCAUAACCUCACCUCUUUACAACGAAUGAUAGUGGAAUCUUGCCCUAAUCUGAGUUCUUCUAGACAUUCUCUCAAAACACUUCUAAGUCGGGGGUGCCCUGAUUUAUACUCCUGGAGAAUGACGCAUUCUUGGUCCUCUUUAGAAGAAUUGAAUGUUCAAAAUUGCCCUAAUCUAAGGAAAUUGUUGGAUCGCAUACCAUUUUUAAUCCCUUGCCUCAAAACACUUAAGAUUUGUAAGUGCCCUGAAUUACAAGAAUUGCAAAGGAUGGAUCGCCUUACCUCUUUACAAGUAUUGUCAAUCAGUGAAUGUCCAAAAUUGUCGGAAAGAUGUGAAAAGGAAACCGGAAUCCUGUGGCAUCACAUUGCUCACAUCCCAUCUAUUAUAAUUGAUGGGCAACAGAUUCAAUGAUGAUCAUACAAUAUAUAGGGGGAUGAUGACAUGUUUUCAUUAUUUGAAGCAGGACGAUUCAUCUUGCUAAUUUCCUUCCAGAGCAGACAGUUGUUGAAUUGAAACCAAGAGAAAUUUCUAUUGGAUUAUGGACUUUUUCUGAUAGUUUUAGAGAGAACAUACGGUUUUCAACGUGCCGAUGCCAUUGUGAAGUAGAGUUCUAGAAUCGGUGGAUCGGAGGCUUUACUCUCAACAGUGUCAUCACUAUCUAUCUUGACCUCUGGUUUCUUUCUAGGUAAAAAAGACUGCACAACAUGCAACUCUUUCACCUUCUUUUCUCAAGAAGUGAACCUUGGUCUAAUGAUCUUGAAUUCGGUUAAUUGGGUUUUCAUUUAUUGCUUGUUAUAUAUGAGGAAUGUGCUUUGUAUAGAAUCCUCAAUAUUUUUGCAUUGCUCUAACAUUUAAGAUUUUUGUUUUCCAUAGAGAAAGAAGAGAUGCCAAUGACUUGCCUGCCAACUCCCUUCCAGCCAUUUUUGAAAUGCAGUUAGCUGUGAAUGGAGUCAACCAACACUUGCUAAGUAGUGGUUCGAGUGAUUGGGAAAACUGCCUGGAGAGCUGAGCUGGUUGGAAAACCCUUUUGCUUCUUUCAAAAUCAAUGUCAAAGUUCCAUCUUGGCCAUUCUUGGAGGUCUUUGAGCAGUGGCUUGAAUUCUAGUCUUUAGGCCUUUACUUAAUUAACCCAAACCGUUAAAGGGACCUAAACACAAAGGUUCUUUCAUAAUGUAGAUAUGGAGAAGACUUUUGGGAUACUACUAUGGGAUUUAAUAUUUGCCACGUUUGGGUGCUGCAACUACUGUAACCUCCUGCAUCAUAGUAAAAUCUCUUUCACCUUCGACCGUGGAUGUAGGUUAUUAAGCCGAACCACGUAAUUUUUCGUGUGUUUUAUUAUGUUAGAUUGUUUGCUUGUUAUUUAUCAUAAAAUUUGGUUCCACAUCUAUA